CGACGUGAGGGAACCUGCCUUUCAGUGGGGGACAACAGUUGGAAACGACUGCUAAUACCGCAUAACAUAUCUGCAUCGCAUGGUGUGGAUAUCAAAGAUUUAUCGCUGAGAGAUGGCCUCGCGUCUGAUUAGCUAGUUGGUGGGGUAACGGCCCACCAAGGCGACGAUCAGUAGCCGGACUGAGAGGUUGGCCGGCCACAUUGGGACUGAGAUACGGCCCAGACUCCUACGGGAGGCAGCAG
rnacentral:rRNA from 1 species